rnacentral:rRNA from 1 species
AGACGGAGGGUGCAAACGUUGUUCGGAAUCACUGGGCAUAAAGAGCACGUAGGCGGUCUGUUAAGUUGGGUGUGAAAUCCCUCGGCUCAACCGAGGAACUGCAUUUGAUACUGGCAGACUGGAGGACGGUAGGGGCAAGUGGAACUCCAGGUGGAACGGUGAAAUGUGUAGAUAUCUGGAGGAACGCCGGUGGCGAAAGCGGUUCUCUGGCCCGUAACUGACGCUGAGGUGCGAAAGCUAGGGGAGCAAACAGGAUUAGAAACCCCAGUAGUCC